rnacentral:rRNA from 1 species
GUAGGUGGCAAGCGUUGUCCGGAAUUAUUGGGCGUAAAGCGCGCGCGGGCGGUUCUUUAAGUCUGAUGUGAAAGCCCACGGCUCAACCGUGGAGGGUCAUUGGAAACUGGAGAACUUGAGUACAGAAGAGGAAAGCGGAAUUCCGCGUGUAGCGGUGAAAUGCGUAGAGAUGUGGAGGAACACCAGUGGCGAAGGCGGCUUUCUGGUCUGUAACUGACGCUGAGGCGCGAAAGCGUGGGGAGCAAACAGGGAUUAGAUACCCUGGUAGUCCACGCCGUAAACGAUGAGUGCUAAGUGUUAGGGGGUUUCCCGCCCCUUAGUGCUGCAGCUAACGCAUUAAGCACUCCGCCUGGGGAGUACGGACGCAAGGCUG